rnacentral:lncRNA from 1 species
CUCUGCUCCAGCCAAGACGCUGCUCUGAAGCCAGUCUGGAAGAACAGAGCAGUCUGUAGGGAUACACAGGUGGCCCUGCAGUUUGCAGACAAGACUUCUGAGCAUAACAAAGGAUGAAAAGUAAGAGAAAAGAAGGCAGCCAUGCACAGGCAAGGACAUAAAAGAAAACUGUAUUGGAGAAAAUAAGACUCACCAGGAGUUCAUGCAUCUCAAACCCCAUUUCACAAAACAAAGAAGCGUACUAUCUUCCUAAUAGCAGUUUUAGUGGGGAAAAGGAAUAUUUUCAUCACUGGUUUGCUCUAAGCAUAAAUGGAAGAUCACUAUCAACUCCUUCAUCUGGCCCAGUCCAGCUCUGCGCAAGCGUUUGA